CCAUUCAUCCAGCCAUGCACCCAUCCGAUCUUCCAUCCACCCACCACUCCGUGUGUAUGUGUGGGGUGGGGCUGGGGUGGUGUUGGUUAUGUGCCAGGUACUGAACUAAAUACUAGGAAUAUGAUAGUGAACCAGAGAUAUGAAUUGAACCCAGGCUCUGAUUCUUGCUACCUGUGAAAAAGUAGGCAAUUGUUGAAUUUUUCUGAGUCUCCAAUUCUUAAUCUGUAAACUGUGAAUAGUAAUAUCUACUGCCUGAAGUCAUUUCAAGGAUUAAAUGCUAUAACAUAAGAA
rnacentral:lncRNA from 1 species